ensembl:lncRNA
GUCGUCCUGGCCUCGUGGACUCUGGCGAAACGUGUCACACCUCGUGCCAGUCCUGGAGCGGUGCUUCUCAGAUGCGUGCUCACACCCAGUUCCCUGAGGGUCUUCAGAUUGCAAAGGGAUCAGAUCGAGAGGGCCACCCUGCUUCUCUCAGCAGCCCCAAAAGGGGCUGAACAUACUCCAAGCAUCCAGAUAACCUCAGUCACUCCGACCAGAAGAAAUUCAGAGCGCCCACGUGACAACGCCCUGACUUGGGCACCAUGGGGCCCAGAAGCGGACGGUAACCAGCGAAUGAGGUCACGUCCUCACGCCUCACGGUCCCGGGGAGGGGCUGGUUCAUCCCGAGCAUCAUCUGAGGCCCUACUCUGACCCUGCAGACUGGGGAGGCCUCCAGGCAACCAUUCUCCAGUACAGAGCACAGAUGAGAUGUGAAGACCAAGAAUCACCUCCCGGCCGCCUCCUCCCCAGGCGUGGCAUCCCAUUUCCUCUCUCACUCCAUCCAGGCAUCGUUUUCCGACUGUUCAGUCCUCUCUGAACCCUCCUCCAUGAGCCCUAAGCAUUUCCACAGGCGCCUGUUGCCCAUACCUUAGAAACAAGCAUGGUUUUCUGGAAAGACUCCAUGGAGUUUAAAAGCAAUGGGAUAAAGGCCUAUGUCGCACAGUCAUUAAAAUGGAGCUACAGUGUUUUCUUUUCAGUAACCCAGAACACUUGCAGACUUUGCUGGGUGGACAAAUUCGUCUUCCAUUCCCAAAGUCCCCUCAUCUGCAGGACAGCUCAGAGGUCAGUGUUAGGACACGGUCAGUCUCCAGUUGGGAAGCCUCCUCCGAUACGAGGUGUCACAAAUACACCUCUAAUGUAUAGAUCUUAGCAACUCAGGUUUCUGGCAAAUUCCGGCUUUCCAUUUUCAGAGUUAAUGUGUGUAUGUGUGUGCACACGUGUUCAGUCACUUCAGGCAAGUUUGACUCUUUGCCACCACGUGGACUGUAGCUCGCCAAGCUCCUCUGUCCAUGGGCUUCUCUAGGCAAGAGCGCUGGAGUGGGUUGCCAUUUCCCCCUCUGGGGGAUCCUCCCGACCCAGGGAUUGAACCCACCUCUCCUGCAUCUCCUGCACUGCAGGCAGGCUCUUUACCCACUGAGCUACCUGGGAAGCCCAACGUCUGUUUACAUUAUUUUAUUAUCCGGUCACUGAGCAAAACACGUUCAUCUGGGGCAAGAACUGACUCACACAUGGAACAGGGGUUUAUCAAGUCAUCUUGUCAUUUUAUUCGUUGCUCCACUGAUGCCUGUUCCCUCUGAUCCGUCAGUCAGUUUGCUUAGAAGAUUCCCAUACGUGUCAUUUGAGACAGAUUCCUCUGGAUGAGGAAACUGGAGCUUAGGGGGUCGUUCUCCUAAAUAAAUCAAGCUCAAAUCCUUGUCUUUGGUCUCCAAAUACAUGACAUCAUGACAGAGCCAGUGUGCGCAAGAAUUCCAGGUAUCAAAUAGGUCACGGACACGGAAUGACUUUCCAGAAAACGGUGCUUGUUUCUAAGGGAUGGGGGGAGUGAGAUGAAGCCUGGACCGACAGGGAAGACUGACCAGGGUCCCGUCCAUCCGGGGGCUCCUGAGUGUGGUGCUGGUGUUUCCCCAUGACUCACCCGGGCCAAUCGGAUGGUGCUGAGU